GAUGAACGCUAGCUACAGGCUUAACACAUGCAAGUCGCGGGGCAGCAUGGGGGUUGCUUGCAAUCCCCGAUGGCGACCGGCGCACGGGUGAGUAACGCGUAUCCAACCUGCCCUUCACCACGGGAUAACCCGGCGAAAGUCGGACUAAUACCGUAUGUUGUCCAUUGACGGCAUCCGAUUUGGACGAAAGGUUUGGCGGUGAAGGAUGGGGAUGCGUCCGAUUAGCUGGACGGCGGGGUGACGGCCCACCGUGGCGACGAUCGGUAGGGGUUCUGCGAGGGAGGUCCCCCACACUGGAACUGAGACACGGUCCAGACUCCUACGGGAGGCAGCAGUGAGGAAUAUUGGUCAAUGGGCGUAAGCCUGAACCAGCCAAGUAGCGUGCAGGAUGACGGCCCUAUGGGUUGUAAACUGCUUUUAUGCGGGGAUAAAGUGGCCCACGUGUGGGUUUUUGCAGGUACCGCAUGAAUAAGGACCGGCUAAUUCCGUG
rnacentral:rRNA from 1 species